rnacentral:rRNA from 1 species
CCUACGGGAGGCUGCAGUGGGGGAUAUUGGACAAUGGGAGGAACCCUGAUCCAGCGACGCCGCGUGAGUGAAGAAGUAUUUCGGUAUGUAAAGCUCUGUCAGCAGGGAAGAAAGAAAUGACGGUACCUGACCAAGAAGCCCCGGCUAACUACGUGCCAGCAGCCGCGGUAAUACGUAGGGGGCAAGCGUUAUCCGGAAUUACUGGGUGUAAAGGGAGCGUAGACGGUUAAGUAAGUCUGGAGUGAAAGGCCGGGGCCCAACCCCGGGACUGCUCUGGAAACUAUUGAACUUGAGUGCAGGGGAGGUAAGCGGAAUUCCUAGUGUAGCGGUGAAAUGCGUAGAUAUUAGGAGGAACACCAGUGGCGAAGGCGGCUUACUGGACUGUAACUGACGUUGAGGCUCGAAAGCGUGGGGAGCAAACAGGAUUAGAUACCCUUGUAGUC